rnacentral:rRNA from 1 species
AGGGAAUCUUCCGCAAUGGACGAAAGUCUGACGGAGCAACGCCGCGUGAGUGAAGAAGGUCUUCGGAUCGUAAAACUCUGUUGUUAGGGAAGAACAAGUAUCGUUCGAGUAGGGCGGUACCUUGACGGUACCUAACCAGAAAGCCACGGCUAACUACGUGCCAGCAGCCGCGGUAAUACGUAGGUGGCAAGCGUUGUCCGGAAUUAUUGGACGUAAAGCGCGCGCAGGCGGUUUCUUAAGUCUGAUGUGAAAGCCCCCGGCUCAACCGGGGAGGGUCAUUGGAAACUGGGGAACUUGAGUGCAGAAGAGGAGAGUGGAAUUCCACGUGUAGCGGUGAAAUGCGUAGAGAUGUGGAGGAACACCAGUGGCGAAGGCGACUCUCUGGUCUGUAACUGACGCUGAGGCGCGAAAGCGUGGGGAGCAAAC